rnacentral:rRNA from 1 species
AUACGUAGGUGGCGAGCGUUGUCCGGAAUUACUGGGUGUAAAGGGCGUGUAGGCGGGGAGGCAAGUCAGAUGUGAAAUUCCCAGGCUUAACCUGGGCGCUGCAUCUGAAACUGCUUUUCUUGAGUACUGGAGAGGAAAGUGGAAUUCCUAGUGUAGCGGUGAAAUGCGUAGAGAUUAGGAGGAACACCAGUGGCGAAGGCGGCUUUCUGGACAGUAACUGACGCUGAGGCGCGAAAGCGUGGGGAGCAAACAGGAUUAGAUACCCUGGUAGUCCACGCUGUAAACGAUGGAUACUAGGUGUGGGAGGUAUCGACCCCUUCCGUGCCGGAGUUAACACAAUAAGUAUCCCACCUGGGGAGUACGGCCGCAAGGCUGAA